UACGAAGGGGGCUAGCGUUGCUCGGAAUUACUGGGCGUAAAGGGCGCGUAGGCGGCACUGUUAGUCAGGCGUGAAAGUCCUGGGCUCAACCUGGGAACUGCGCUUGAUACGGCAGAGCUAGAGGAUGGAAGAGGCUCGCGGAAUUCCCAGUGUAGAGGUGAAAUUCGUAGAUAUUGGGAAGAACACCGGUGGCGAAGGCGGCCAUCUGGACGACCACUGACGCUGAGACGCGAAAGCGUGGGGAGCAAACAGG
rnacentral:rRNA from 1 species